AGUGAACGCUGGCGGUAGGCCUAACACAUGCAAGUCGAACGGCAGCACAGUAAGAGCUUGCUCUUACGGGUGGCGAGUGGCGGACGGGUGAGGAAUACAUCGGAAUCUACUUUUUCGUGGGGGAUAACGUAGGGAAACUUACGCUAAUACCGCAUACGACCUACGGGUGAAAGCAGGGGAUCUUCGGACCUUGCGCGAUUGAAUGAGCCGAUGUCGGAUUAGCUAGUUGGCGGGGUAAAGGCCCACCAAGGCGACGAUCCGUAGCUGGUCUGAGAGGAUGAUCAGCCACACUGGAACUGAGACACGGUCCAGACUCCUACGGGAGGCAGCAGUGGCGAAUAUUGGACAAUGGGCGCAAGCCUGAUCCAGCCAUACCGCGUGGGUGAAGAAGGCCUUCGGGUUGUAAAGCCGUUUUGUUGGGAAAGAAAAGCAGCAGGUUAAUACCCCGCUGUUCUGACGGUACCCAAAGAAUAAGCACCGGCUAACUUCGU
rnacentral:rRNA from 1 species